rnacentral:misc_RNA from 1 species
AACCAAAUAAUAAUAAACAAUGGAGUGCUAAACAUUGAUAAAAGGUUGUUGAGGUUGUAUCAUGUUAAAACAAACUGACCCUGGGGGUUAGUCCUCAAUUUAGUUCUGGUAAUAGAGUUGGGCUAUUUGUCAUUACUUAGUAAUAAAAUGCUUUUCAUAUUGUGUUCCAUUUCAUAAUUUGUGAUUGAAUAGAAAGGCUCCUGAAACUCGAUAGGAGCAGAAUGGAAUGCAGCUUAGGUUCAGGGUAGAAAUCAAGGCAACAGUAGUAAUUCCUUACUUUUUAGACACGCUUAGGUGCA